rnacentral:rRNA from 1 species
AGAGUUUGAUCAUGGCUCAGGACGAACGCUGGCGGCGUGCUUAACACAUGCAAGUCGAACGGAAAGGCCCUUCGGGGUACUCGAGUGGCGAACGGGUGAGUAACACGUGGGUGAUCUGCCCUGCACUUUGGGAUAAGCCUGGGAAACUGGGUCUAAUACCGAAUAUGACCAUGCACUUCCUGGUGUGUGGUGGAAAGCUUUUGCGGUGUGGGAUGGGCCCGCGGCCUAUCAGCUUGUUGGUGGGGUAAUGGCCUACCAAGGCGACGACGGGUAGCCGGCCUGAGAGGGUGACCGGCCACACUGGGACUGAGAUACGGCCCAGACUCCUACGGGAGGCAGCAGUGGGGAAUAUUGCACAAUGGGCGCAAGCCUGAUGCAGCGACGCCGCGUGAGGGAUGACGGCCUUCGGGUUGUAAACCUCUUUCAGCACAGACGAAGCGCGAGUGACGGUAUGUGCAGAAGAAGGACCGGCCAACUACGUGCCAGCAGCCGCGGUAAUACGUAGGGUCCGAGCGUUGUCCGGAAUUACUGGGCGUAAAGAGCUCGUAGGUGGUUUGUCGCGUUGUUCGUGAAAACUCACAGCUUAACUGUGGGCGUGCGGGCGAUACGGGCAGACUGGAGUACUGCAGGGGAGACUGGAAUUCCUGGUGUAGCGGUGGAAUGCGCAGAUAUCAGGAGGAACACCGGUGGCGAAGGCGGGUCUCUGGGCAGUAACUGACGCUGAGGAGCGAAAGCGUGGGGAGCGAACAGGAUUAGAUACCCUGGUAGUCC